AUCAAUCGUCCUUGCAACAGAACCGUGAUCGAUAAAUGCUUGAAGAGCUUGAUCGGGCAUCGUUGAAACCUAACAGACAUUUAAUUAGAGGUCAACCAUCAGGCAAACACAAGGUAAUAUGGAUUAUUCGCAUGGCAUUUUCGGAGGCCAUCUCUUAAAUUUGUGUCCCCAUUAGCCCAGUGGGUUCAAUUUGCCUUUUAAAAGUAAUUGCAUUCAUUAUUCCUCUUGCAGAUAAAUAUAGCCCAUUGGGCUAAAGACAUAAUUAAAAUAGUUGCCUCAAAAAAGGCCAUUUGUGCAAAUGCCUCGAGUAAUAUUUCAUUAGAGGUCACUCCAAGAAAAGUGAUUUGAUGAAUUAUUCUUUUUGCAGAGAAAUAUAGCCCACUAGGCUAACAGGAGAGAACUUACAUAGUGGCCUCAAAAACACCAUUCAAGAAAGUGAUUUGACGUCAACGCUACAGCGCCACAAUCACCACAAACAAGAAGGCAAUAAGAUGACUCACCG
rnacentral:lncRNA from 1 species